rnacentral:rRNA from 1 species
UACAGAGGGUGCAAACGUUGUUCGGAUUUACUGGGCGUAAAGCGCGUGUAGGCGGCUUUGCAAGUCGGAUGUGAAAUCCCACGGCUCAACCGUGGAAGUGCAUCCGAAACUGCAUCGCUCGAGUCUCGGAGAGGAAGGUGGAAUGCUUGGUGUAGAGGUGAAAUUCGUAGAUAUCAAGCAGAACACCUGCGGCGAAGGUGGCCUUCUGGACGAUGACUGACGCUGAGACGCGAAAGCGUGGGGAGCAAACAGG